rnacentral:lncRNA from 1 species
GUCACACCGAAUGCAAGUUCGAGGAGGUUCUUUGCUGAAUGCAGGACAGGAGGCCUGUGCAGGAGGCAAUGGGAGUGAAGAGGGAAACCUGCCGGCGUACAGACAGUUAAGGCAGCCAGGAAGCCGCGCGCUCCGUGGAAAACCUCUGUUGAAAGCCCCUUCAGUAGUUUAAAGUCUAAAGAGUAGCUGCUGCUACUUUUGAUUUCUUCCUUAAAGAGGAUCAAUUAGAGCCCUCCGAUCGCGUCCCCAAAGGUCCUGGUCUG